GCGGCGAUGGCUCAGUCGUUAGAGUAUCGGGCUAGUAAUCCAGAGGUCCUUGGUUCAAGCCUGAGUCUUGGCG
rfam:Trichomalopsis sarcophagae strain Alberta scaffold11156, whole genome shotgun sequence.